GCGGGCGUGGCGAAAUUGGUAAACGCAGCGGACUUAAAAUCCGUCGGUCCUAAAGACUUUGCCGGUUCAAGUCCGGCCGCCCGCACCA
rnacentral:tRNA from 1 species